UGAAGAGUUUGAUCCUGGCUCAGCCUGAACGCUGGCGGCAUGGCUAAAACAUGCAAGUCGAGGGAGAAGGGGGCUUCGGCCCCUGGACACCGGCGAAAGGGCGAGUAACGCGAUCGAACGUGCCCCGAGGUAGAGGAUAGCCGUGGGAAACUGCGGGUAAUACUCUAUAAGUUCCAAGGAAGAAAGCUCCGGCGCCUUGGGAGCGGCGAUCGUCCUAUCAGGUUGUUGGUGGGGUAAAGGCCUACCAAGCCGAAGACGGGUAGCGGGUGUGAGAGCAUGGCCCGCCGCAUCGGAACUGAGACACUGUCCGGACUCCUACGGGAGGCUGCAGUAACGAAUCUUCCGCAAUGCGCGAAAGCGUGACGGAGCAAUGCCGCGUGUGGGAUGAAGCGGUUACGCCGUGUAAACCACUGUCAGGACUUAGGAAGAACUGACCGAGUCCAAAGGAAGGGCCGGCUAAUCUCGUGCCAGCAGCCGCGGUAAUACGAGAGGCCCGAGCGUUAGGCGGAAUCACUGGGCUUAAAGGGUGCGUAGGCGGAUCAGUAAGCAUUUUGUGAAAUCCCUCGGCUCAACCGAGGAAUUGCAGAGUGAACUGCUGGUCUUGAGGUAGGCAGAGGUCAUCGGAACGUACGGUGGAGCGGUGAAAUGCGUAGAUAUCGUACGGAACGCCGAAGGGGUAGCCAGGUGACUGGGCCUUACCUGACGCUGAGGCACGAAAGCGUGGGGAUCAAACAGGAUUAGAUACCCUGGUAGUCCACGCCGUAAACGAUGUGCACUAGUUUGGUGGAGAUCUGACUCUCUGCCAGACGCCGAGAAAUCAUUAAGUGCAC
rnacentral:rRNA from 14 species